AUUAAUGUCAGGUAAUGUUUCUCUUAUUUCAUCAAUGAUCAUGUAUACUUGAUAAAAGCUCAAACAUGAAACUCUUGAAAAGUUCAAGGGAUUCACACUAGAAUUAGAGAAACAAAUAGGUAAAGAUACCCUCACAUUAAGAUUCGAUCAAGUGAGAGUAUCUUAAAGAUAAAAUUUAGAUUAUCUAAGAGAGAAUGAGAUUCUCG
rnacentral:lncRNA from 1 species